rnacentral:rRNA from 1 species
CUGAUAACCGAAGCUGCGGAUGGGCGCGUAAGCGUCCGUGGUAGGGGAGCUUUCUGUAGGUCUGUGAAGGUGUCUCGUAAGGGAUGCUGGAGAUAUCAGAAGUGCGAAUGCUGACAUGAGUAGCGAUAAAGCGGGUGAAAAGCCCGCUCGCCGAAAGCCCAAGGUUUCCUACGCAACGUUCAUCGGCGUAGGGUGAGUCGGCCCCUAAGGCGAGGCUGAAAAGCGUAGUCGAUGGGAAACGGGUUAAAAUUCCCGUACUUUUAUGCAGUGCGAUGUGGGGACGGAGAAGGUUAGGUCAUCAGACUGUUGGAAUAGUCUGUUUAAGCCGGUAGGCUGGAGUGGUAGGCAAAUCCGCCGCUCCUUAAGGCCGAGAAGUGAUGACGAGGGUCUACGGACCUGAAGUGACUGAUACCACGCUUCCAGGAAAAGCCACUAAGCUUCAGCUGCAUAAGAACCGUACCGCAAACCGACACAGGUGGGCAGGAUGAGAAUUCUAAGGCGCUUGAGAGAACUCAGGAGAAGGAA